rnacentral:rRNA from 1 species
AGUGAACGCUGGCGGUAGGCUUAACACAUGCAAGUCGAACGGCAGCACAGUAAGAGUUUGCUCUUACGGGUGGCGGGUGGCGUACGUGAGAGGAAAACAUCGGAACCUAGUUUUUGGUGUGGGAUAACGUAGGGAAACUUACGCUAAUAUCGCAUACGCCCUACGGGUGAAGGCAGUGGAUCUUCUGACCUUUUGCGUUUGAAUGAGCCGCUGGCGGACUAGCUAGUUGGCGGGUUAAAGGCCCACUAAGGCGACGAUCCGUAGCUGGUCUGAGAGGAUGGUCGGCCACGCUGGAGCUGUGCCGCGGUCCAUACUCCUACGGGAGGCAGCAGUGGGGAAUAUUGGACAAUGGGCGCAAACCUGAUCCAGCGAUACCGCGUGGGUGGAGAAGACAUUCGGUUUGUAAAGCCGUUUUGUUGGGAAAGAAACGCAGCAGGUUAAGACCCCGCUGUUCUGACGGUACCCAAAGAAUAAGCACCGGCUAACUUCGUG